CCUACGGGAGGCAGCAGUGGGGGAUAUUGCACAAUGGGGGAAACCCUGAUGCAGCACCGCCGCGUGAGUGAAGAAGGUCUUCGGAUUGUAAAGCUCUGUUCUUGGUGAAGAUAAUGACGGUAGCCAAGGAGAAAGCUCCGGCUAACUACGUGCCAGCAGCCGCGGUAAUACGUAGGGAGCGAGCGUUGUCCGGAUUUACUGGGUGUAAAGGGUGCGCAGGCGGCUCUGCAAGUCAGGCGUGAAAGCUAGUGGCUCAACCCCUAAAUUGCGCUUGAAACUGUGGAGCUUGAGUGAAGAAGAGGCAGGCGGAAUUCCCGGUGUAGCGGUGAAAUGCGUAGAGAUCGGGAGGAACACCAGUGGCGAAGGCGGCCUACUGGGCUUUAACUGACGCUCAGGCACGAAAGCAUGGGUAGCAAACAGGAUUAGAUACCCCAGUAGUC
rnacentral:rRNA from 1 species